GCCUGCCUUUCCGCCGGCUGCGCGCAGGGCACGCUGGGACUUGUAGUUCUCUCUGCGCGCCAAGCGGGACAGUUAAACAGGGAGAGUUGGAGAGUUGGAUAUGGAGAGAAAAAGAGACAAGAAUGCUGCGGGGGAUGAUAGAAAUGAAAAAGAAGCAAUGAAGAAGGGCAGAAUUAAAGGGUGCUGCAGCAUCGUGCACCAGCUUAUUGACAUCAUCUUGGUCCCAUGAGAGCCAUCUCCCAUUAUGGGUUUCAUCUCCAGGUUCUGUUAAGUUUGGACCCAAGCUCUGGUGUGGCCUUCCCACCUGUUCACUGGUUUUCCUGCUCCAUUUGCGGUUCUCAUAAAGACGAUGACUACUGUUCACUCCAAGAGUCUGAAAGAAAAUUCAUAUGCUCAACACACAAGUGAUGCAUCAUUAUUAAUAAAUGAAUGGAGCUAUUUGUUAUUUAUUAUUUAAACCUUCAAUACUGGCUGGCCUGAGUGAUACAUGAAAUAUAGGCAAGUAAUUUAUUUAUUAGAGAAAAUAAUGAUUUUUUUCCCCCACAGCAUAACCCACUCUGACCCCAAACAGCAAGAGCUUUAUCAAAUACAAAUACGAUGGCUUGUAAUUUUAGAGUCUUCCAGAGCAUUGUAACUGACAACCUUUUUAACAUAAGUACAUUGAACAAAUAAUUUAUAGACGUAUUCUGGGAAUAUUUUAGGGUAUUUUAUUACUACUUCUGAAAGCUAUGGCAUGUUAUCGAUUUUGGUAUAUUAAUAUAACCUAAAAGGGAGGGCACACACUCAGCUCCUAAUCCACAUCAGCUUUGAUGGCAAACAAUAUAUUUUACUGAAGGGAGCCCUGAGCCAAGGCAGCAAAGGUUAACAAUUACACAUCAUAGCCAAAAGUUUAAGAUAAUGAAUUUCACUCAUUACAGAUCUUCCACUUUGGGGACUGAAGCAGAUUUUCUCUACUUACAGUUUCAACCAAAUUUCUUGCCCAUCAUUUGUCAGCAUGAACUUCCCUUUCCUUCAUCCCUUUCUUUCCCUACCAUUUCCUUGGGAUUCACAAAGCCUGCCUUUCCAAAAACUAUAUUUUCAGCCUGGCUUUUGGGUUGUUUAAAAAGAGGUAACUGUAUUCCUCCUUGUGUUGCUUGAUUCUGUUAGGUGUUUUCUGGAUGAUUAAUGCUUAUGUUAUCAACAUCGUGUUUAUAUGUGGUAUUUUAAAAUCAUUCACCUCUUUUUAUACUUAGACCCAGAGCUCUCGCACACAGACAUUAUUGUGCAAAUUUCUGAACUUAGAGGAAUCCUUAAAUUGUCCUCACUAUCUUCAUCCCUCAGUGAGAACUCAGUGCGUAAGCCAAGCUGAUCUCUUACUGUUUGAAACUCACCCCAUCGUUCCUGCCAUUAAGCCUUUGAUGUUGCUGCUCUUCUCUCUUUUUUCUACCCUAUCACUUUUGUGUAUGAAGAUUUUCCCGACCACUCCAAAUACAUAAUUAUCUUCUUCUCCGAACCUCUGGACAACUCAACCUCUCCCCCUUAUGAUUUAGCACUUUUAUCAUGUGUGGUCUUGAAUUAGUCCUGACUUCUUUUUUGCAGACAUCCUUUAUCCUGGAUUGACUCAGAGUGAUUUGAGGAGACAAAUCAUAUAGGUUAAGUCUUCCUUGAACUCCACAUCACUCAGAAUGCGGUUGAACAGAAGGGCUGAGGCAACUCAGUAUAUACCAAAUUCAGGAUACACUGAAUUUAAGGUAUACUGAAAUCUAAGGAGGAUGAAUAACGGUUUUCAAAGUAUGGUUAGCCUCUCUCCCUCUAAUGAUUAAACAAUUGCUGUAUGAUUCAAAAUUUUACAAAAUUCUGUUGGGCAUAAUUAUUGGGGAUGGACUUUCUUGACCUUUAUUAUUAUUUUUUAAAUGUAAAAAUUAUCAUCACAAAUACAAGAAAUGCUCCCGUUAGAAAGGUCUGAAUAUUUGGAAAAGCAAAAAGAAGAAAAUAAAAUAAUCUGCCAUAAUCCCUUCACCAUGGUGAGCACCAUUAAUAUCUUAGAAUGUAUCCUUCCAGACUAUUUUGUGUAUACAUGUGUUGGUUUAUAUAGACACACACUUUUACAUAUAUCACUAUUACGGCCUUCAUUAAUUUCUUAGAAUAACUUGCCAGAAAGAAGUUGUUAGAAUGUAUAACAUAAAAAGACAAGUAUGUGUGUUUGUGUGUGUGUGUGUGUGUGUGUGUGUGUGUGUGUGUGUGUCUGUGUAGGUGCUUUAAAACAGUACUGCACAAUAUGGAUUCUUU